GAUGAAGAACGUAGUGAAAUGCGAUAAGUAAUGUGAAUUGCAGAAUUCAGUGAAUCAUCGAAUCUUUGAACGCACAUUGCGCCCCUUGGUAUUCCGGGGGGCAUGCCUGUUCGAGCGUCAUUAUCACCCCUCAAGCUCAGCUUGGUGUUGGGGCCUGCCCGUCACAGGGCAGCCCUUAAAAGCAGUGGCGGUGCCAUCUGGCUCUACGCGUAGUAAUACUUCUCGCGACAGAGUCCCGGUGGUGUCCUGCCAGAACCCCCAAUAUUUUUAAUGAUUGACCUCGGAUCAGGUAGGGAUACCCGCUGAACUUAAGCAUAUCAAUAAGCGGAGGA
rnacentral:misc_RNA from 1 species